AGCGGCGGACGGGUGAGUAACGCGUGGGUAACCUGCCUCAUACAGGGGGAUAACUACUGGAAACGGUAGCUAAUACCGCAUAACGUCGCAAGACCAAAGAGGGGGACCUUCGGGCCUCUUGCCAUCGGAUGUGCCCAGAUGGGAUUAGCUAGUAGGUGGGGUAACGGCUCACCUAGGCGACGAUCCCUAGCUGGUCUGAGAGGACGACCAGCCACACUGGAACUGAGACACGGUCCAG
rnacentral:rRNA from 1 species